rnacentral:tRNA from 1 species
GGCGCAUCAGAAGGCGGUAAGAUGAAGUCCAUUGAUGACGUUCAUUUGAUGAACACUCAUAAUGGGUCGGUGGUUCGAGUCCACCCAUAGCCACCA